rnacentral:rRNA from 1 species
UAGCGUAUAUUAAAGUUGUUGCAGUUAGAACGCUCGUAGUCGGAUUUCGGGGCGGGUCGACCGGUCUGCCGAUGGGUACGCACUGGCCGACGCGUCCUUCCUUCCGGAGACCGUCUCACUCUUAACUGAGCGGAGGCGGGAGACGGAACGUUUACUUUGAAAAAAUCAGAGUGUUUCAAGCAGGCAGCUCGCUCUUGCAUGGAUUAGCAUGGGAUAAUGAAAUAGGACUUUGGUGCUAUUUUGUUGGUUUCGAACACCGAAGUAAUGAUUAACAGGGACAGUCAGGGGCACUCGUAUUCCGCCGAGAGAGGUGAAAUUCUCAGACCAGCGGAAGACGAACUACUGCGAAAGCAUUUG